rnacentral:rRNA from 13 species
AUCAGCGGGGAAAGAAGACCCUGUUGAGCUUGACUCUAGUCUGUUGCGCAGGACGACUUGAGAGGUGUAGAAUAAGUGGGAGGAGCAAUCCGCCGGUGAAAUACCACUACUUUCAACGUCGUCCUACUUACCCGGUGAAGCGGAGUGCACCUCGGUGCUCUUCUGGACUUAACCCCUCGGGGGAUCCGCGUCGGGGACACACACAGGUGGGGAGUUUGGCUGGGGCGGCACGUCUGUAAAAAAAUAACGCAGGCGCCCGAUUUUGAGCUCAAUGAGAACAGAAAUCUCAUGUGGACCGAAAGGGGAAAAGCUCGGUUGAUUUUGAUUUUCAGUACGAAUACAAACCGCGAAAGCGUGGCCUAUCGAUCC